CCCACGCCAGGCCCGCGCCGCACCCCGCCUCUCCCAGGAACACGGCAACGCCGGGCCGGGCCGGGCCGGGCCCCGCCGCGCCGCGCCGCGCCGCUCCGCGGAGCCGCCCGGAGCGCCCCUACCUGUGCCGGGCUCACAUCCUCGGGCCGAGGCCAGCGCUGCCCCCCCGGCGCCGCUCCGGCUACGGCCCCCGCCCGAAGUUUGCCUGCCUUGCGCGGGGCUGAAGGACUGUUGACCCUACAGAAGUUUUCGAAUCAAAUUCUCCCUGCAGACUGACUUGAGUGAAUGACCUCCAAACUUGGCCUACUGGGAUGGAGAGAGAUCCUAACACCGAUAUAUGGAGGAGGUCACUGGGGAUUUGUGCUAAUAGGCCCAUCUGUAAACCGGCAAACUGGAAUUCAACGCAUGUCGUGUUUGGCCAUCCCAUCUGCAUGGUGACAGGAGUGAGGAAAGGCCUAAACAGAGGAUCAGUGACAGUGGCCAAUUUUCUCCUUUUCUCCUCCCCCAGCAUCCUUUCAGAAGUCCAGGAGAAGGCUACUGGGACUCUUUUUAACUUCCAUCCAUUACCAAGGCAAGAGCAGAGUCUUCCUCUGUAUUUGUCUCAUAUAUAUGGGUAGUCAUGGCAAUAGAUAAGUUAGCUGUUUGUGUAUGACGCACAAAGUCCUCUGUGGAAG
rnacentral:lncRNA from 1 species